GUGCCUGUAAUCACACUGCGGGACCGCAGAGCACGGCUAAGUGAAGAUGCGUGGCUCUGACCUGAGCAACUGUCUCCUUUUAUUAGUGCUGUUGUGUCGGCAUUUUCAGUGGGGUUACAAUUAAUUAAAAUUCCCUAUUAAUUAAAAUGUUUUGCGACAACAACAACAGCAAAAAUUGCUUGGAGAAAAGCCUACGUGAAGUGAAACUGGAGCCUGGUCCGCAUGAAUAUGCAUGGAGCCCAAAGGACGCUGCAUUAGCAUGCGUGCAGCCAGUCCCCAACGUAAGCGAUGCAGCGGAGGAGGAAGAACGUAGAGGCGAGGAGGAUACAAAAAUAGGGGUGUAAAAUUUUGCAUCACCCUCUGUAUUUCCCCCUCUGCUCUAACUCGGAGUUUAAGCGCAUGGAAAUGCCGUGGCUUUCACUACAGGGCUGUACCAUGGCGGGAGGCGGCUCCAGGGCUGAGAAGAAAUCUUUGUUGGCGCUCUGCAAGCCCCGCAGCACAGCGGCAUUGUCAGAGCCGGGGCUGAAUGGUUCCACCGGGGAUCCAGACCCCGCUCUUUCGGGAAAGCAGCAAGCCUCAGUAACUAGCUGGUGCUAUUACUGGAGCUGGGCACUCCUCCUACUUCAGCGAUUUAGAGGCUACGGGGAAGAAAUCAUCCUCAGAAAGAGCAAUUUGAAGCAAUGCCUGUCUACAAAUGGCGCACGCUUAUGCAACGGCUGCGUGCCAGUGGCGGCGUGCAGCUCUGCUCGGCUCCGCUUUAGGACCAAAAAGGAAAUUUUGCCUCCUGCAGACCAAGGCAGAAAAGAGGCAGGAGGGGUCUCCUCCUUCAGCAGGGUUACCAAAAAGCCCUUUUCCCCAGGACCGGUGCCAGGUAAAGGUAAAAGGCUUCCAGGGAGGGACGAGACACAAAAUGACCAUGCAGCCACCAUCACUGGCAAGGCUACGUACAAAAGUUGGCAAAAAAAAAAAAGAAUAUUGAUUAUUAGAUGUUUUUGCAGAUAUUCAUGUGCUCAAGAAGAUGUCAGGAACGAAAUUUAUACUCUGAAGCAUAUAAGAAAUGCACUAUUAGUCUGUUUUUUUAAAGCAUAAUGAUCACACAAGCUUCUUUCUAGUUAUAAUUGGAUUUUUAAGGUUUAUGGAUCCACCUUCAACUUCUGGGCUACUCUAGAGGAGGAGAUUAUUUUCCCCCAAACUGAGGUUUCUCAAACUCCCUUGACUUAAGGGGCUUUAAGGCAAAUCCAGAAGGCAUCACGAGAGCUGCAAGGGCAGGUAUGGGAAACCUGAGCACAGCAGGCACUGAAAUUACGACAGUAGAGCCACAGAAUCCCAUCACUGCAACUUAUUUUUUUCAAAGAAUCGAAUCACCAAGCUCAAAUUGAUUAAUGGACACAAUUAUUUGCUAAAGUAAAGGUCCAGUUACAUUCAUUGACUGCUCCAAGAGUUUGGUUGUCAAACUGAGAUGCAUAAUACCUUACGACUGCUUUAAAGAUGACCAACAUUGCUUCUUCUUUUCAAAUAAUAAAUGCUUAGAUUAUGCUUCGAAGCGGGACUGUUGUGUUUUUUUGGUACUUAAAACCCAGCAGGCAAUCAGCUAAGGGGCUCCCAAGCCAGCCCCAGCUCCGCAGCACUACGCAGUGAGCAAGCUCAGUGAAUCAGAUUCAUUUCCUCCAAGACCCAAAGGUAGCAACGAGCCAUGCUGGAUAUUUCCCAAGAAAAUAAGUGGCCGUGACAAAGAGUCCUUCCAGCCCAGGGAGGCACCAACCUGUUCUUCCAAAUGCCGCAGAGAUCACUGGAGUUUUACUGCUCCUGAUUUGUUUCAAAUACGUGAAACGAAACACCCUGCCCUUGGCUACUGGCAUGGCCCCAGUGUGCUGCAGGAAUGGCACCGGUGGCAGGACAGGGGCUGGCUCCACCAAACGUCCCUGCCUCACCUUCCAGAGCCAGCCCCGGCGCAGGGCUCUCCUCCAAAUGCAUUUCCCUUCGCACACCUAAGCAGUGGUUUGCUGGUAUUCAAGCAUGGAAGACCCCAGUCCUACAAACAUCAACGCCUCAUUUUAGUCCCUGAGCAGUCCUGGAGGCUUAGAUAUGAGUACAGGUACAGCCAGGACAAAAUGCUUAGCCUAUUAAGGGAAAUAUUUAGACAACAGGAAACAAAAUGUAGUGUUAAACACUAAUUUAAGUGAUGUUUAUAUAACGUUGGGGCAUAUGUAGGGCUAACAACUGGUUAUAGAUCAGAGCAAGUGAGUAACGUAAGGACAUACUAAUUAAAAUCCAGUCUUCAGUCAGUCACGGGUUUUCUUUCCCGCUCUGUUACUCUGGUUUUUGAUUAGAAAGUAAUCAUCACAUUACACAAUAUUUCUCCUCAUUAAACUACAAAAGCAACAAAGAUCCCUUGCUUCUUUGGCCAAUUAGUGCCUGUGUACAAUCACGGGGAAUACAAAUCAAAGCGUGGCUCAGCUCUGACCUAAUAAGACAUCCACGCAAAAGCUAAGCUCCGCAGUUUUUUGUUACUACAGCAUUUUUUCCCCUUUACUACAAAGCAGUAGGCACUGAACGCUAGGCCCUGUCUCAGGAAACACAGAGCGGCCAUCGAGGGGGCUGGCAGAGCUCCUCGGUGGCUCUGGUUUACCUUGAGGAGCUCCGAAGGGAUGCUCGUGCACCCAACCGGGGCUGUCGGGGCUCGCAGCGCUGGCAGCUGGAAGAAGCUGAGCGGGAGGACGGAGCCCACGGCGAGGCUGGCACAGCUCUGCACCUCCCCGGGCAAACCCUGAGAACAGGGGCCUGGAGGGCUGCUACGCCCCUCCUACAACCAGCCCCGCUCCCACUUUUUCCUUUCCCUCUAAGAAAAAGGCCGUUUGCAGAGUUUG